ensembl:snRNA U2 U2 spliceosomal RNA
AUUGCUUCUCGGCCUUUUGGCUAAGAUCAAGUGAAGUAUCUCUUCUUAUCAAAUAAAUCUAGCCAAGAAAUAAAAUUUGUGACCAAUA